rnacentral:tRNA from 1 species
GCCUCGUUAGCGUAGUUGGAUUAUCGCAUCUGUCUAAUACACGAUGCCUCAGAUCAGCUCUGAGUUUGUUAUAACAGAAGGUCACUGGUUCGAGCCCAGUACGGGGCA